GAGACAAGUUGUUAACCGGCCAAUUGUAGUCUCAAAACUAUACAAUCAGAAUUUCUCGACAUAAUAAUUCAUAUUGAUUAUGUUGCCAUUAAAAAUUUCGCGUUGUAAAAUUUGUACAAAUUUAAUAACAUUUGCUUUCCGUUAAACAAUUAAUGCGUUCUAGAAUUCCGUCAUCCAUCACAAUUACCCAAAUUGUAGUUUUUUAUUAAAAAUAACGAAUGAUUAUUGACGGAUUUUCUAUUAUGCAGCCAAAUCUAUCACCAACAACAAAGUAAACCGAGAGUGAGAUAUAUAUGUUUGGAGGAGUGUACAUACAUACAAUUUCAAUGCGCAGAACAUAUGUAGUUCGCCUGGUAUUUCAGCCGAAUUUUUAUUCCGAUCUGGAGACCCAGCUGCUUGUCGGUCUCAAUGAACUUUGGCGGCCGUUAAAUUAAAAUAUUAAUUGAUAGCAAACGGAUAAGGGCGAAGUACUCAAAUUCCUUGAUAUCCCUGAACUCGGCCGUAUCAUUGAAGGUCCCAUCGUGUCCUGUUUCAAACAACUUCCAUAGACAAGAGGUGUAAGCUGGUUCAAGGACAUUGAACUUGUCCUUAUGGAUUCCGAGAUGUCAAGGAUUU